UGAGGAAUAUUGGUCAAUGGGCGAGAGCCUGAACCAGCCAAGUAGCGUGCAGGAUGACGGCCCUAUGGGUUGUAAACUGCUUUUAUAAGGGAAUAAAGUGAGCCUCGUGAGGCUUUUUGCAUGUACCUUAUGAAUAAGGACCGGCUAAUUCCGUGCCAGCAGCCGCGGUAAUACGGAAGGUCCGGGCGUUAUCCGGAUUUAUUGGGUUUAAAGGGAGCGUAGGCCGGAGAUUAAGCGUGUUGUGAAAUGUAGGCGCUCAACGUCUGCACUGCAGCGCGAACUGGUUUCCUUGAGUACGCACAAAGUGGGCGGAAUUCGUGGUGUAGCGGUGAAAUGCUUAGAUAUCACGAAGAACUCCGAUUGCGAAGGCAGCUCACUGGAGCGCAACUGACGCUGAAGCUCGAAAGUGCGGGUAUCGAACAGGAUUAGAUACCCUGGUAGUCCGCACGGUAAACGAUGGAUGCCCGCUGUUGGUCUGAACAGGUCAGCGGCCAAGCGAAAGCAUUAAGCAUCCCACCUGGGGAGUACGCCGGCAACGGUGAAACUCAAAGGAAUUGACGGGGGCCCGCACAAGCGGAGGAACAUGUGGUUUAAUUCGAUGAUACGCGAGGAACCUUACCCGGGCUUGAAUUGCAGAGGAAGGAUUUGGAGACAAUGACGCCCUUCGGGGUCUCUGUGAAGGUGCUGCAUGGUUGUCGUCAGCUCGUGCCGUGAGGUGUCGGCUUAAGUGCCAUAACGAGCGCAACCCCUCUCCUUAGUUGCCAUCAGGUCAAGCUGGGCACUCUGGGGACACUGCCACCGUAAGGUGUGAGGAAGGUGGGGAUGACGUCAAAUCAGCACGGCCCUUACGUCCGGGGCUACACACGUGUUACAAUGGCAGGUACAGAGAGACGGUCCCUUGCAAAAUGGAUCAAAUCCUUAAAGCCUGUCUCAGUUCGGACUGGGGUCUGCAACCCGACCCCACGAAGCUGGAUUCGCUAGUAAUCGCGCAUCAGCCAUGGCGCGGUGAAUACGUUCCC
rnacentral:rRNA from 1 species